GCAGUAGAAGAUUUGAGUUGCUUGUGUGGGUUAGAGAGAGAGAAAGGUAGGUGAUCGCUAGGCAGCAAAGGAGUUAAAGGGAAGUGUAAGUUGUUCAAGAAGAGCAGUGACGAGGGUCGGCUGGUGGGCGAAGCCAUGUAACUCAUCACCGCUGUUGGUGUAGGGACAAGGAGAAAUCGAAGAGCAGCGCCAUGUCGGAAGCCUUGAUCAGAGCCUCAACCUCGACCCUCCAUUCCUGUAGAGUCCAGAGCCUCAAGCUCAAGAACUCACCAGCUCAAAUCUUCAAGUAAAAAACCAUUGACCCAAUAUAUCAAACACCUGCUAUGUACAGUAAUUACACGGGCCAUUCAUUUCAAAAUUUAGCAGAAAUUGACAUCAAUGAAUCCCAAAUUGAGGGACUACAGCUAGCCCAGUUCCUACUCUCCAAGACCUUCAUACGCAGAUACACGAACGUAGAGAGAGAGACGGGACGGUGGCGGUCGGCGACUGCUCUCCCUGAGAAUAGAUAGAGAGAGACGAGAUGGCGGCGCCUCGCCAUCGAUCUGAGAGGAGAGCAGAGAGAAGGGUUAGCGAAGGAGAUGGAGGAUAGUCGGACAGCGGCCGUUCGCCGGAGAAGGAGCCGCGGCGAUGAAGCUUUGAGAGAGAAUGGCAGAUUUGGUUCGCGU
rnacentral:lncRNA from 1 species